rnacentral:tRNA from 1 species
GCCCGGUUAGCUCAAUUGGUUAGAGCAUGACUCGUUUAUAGUUUGCAGGAAGGUUGCGGGUUCGAAUCCUGUACUGGGCA